UACGUAGGGGGCGAGCGUUGUCCGGAUUUAUUGGGCGUAAAGAGCUCGUAGGCGGUCUGUCGCGUCGGAUGUGAAAACUCGGGGCUCAACCCCGAGCCUGCAUUCGAUACGGGCAGACUAGAGUUCGGUAGGGGAGACUGGAAUUCCUGGUGUAGCGGUGAAAUGCGCAGAUAUCAGGAGGAACACCGGUGGCGAAGGCGGGUCUCUGGGCCGAUACUGACGCUGAGGAGCGAAAGCGUGGGGAGCGAACAGG
rnacentral:rRNA from 1 species